UUUUCUGCUAUGGGGGAUUUUUGAAGAUCGGUAUAAUGAAUUGGAUCUCUGAUAUAUGAUACACACAUGCAUAUUUUGCUGAUUGUCUGUUGCGGGUACAGGCGUUAGUGAUUGCUUGUUAUUGUUUACUUCCUCCAGUGUUUCCGUGUUAUGUAUGAGGAGGUAACCAUGAGUACAAGUACUUCACAAUAAAUCAGAUUUUGUUUUACUCCAUCGCUGCUGGAUAAUUAUAAAGCUGUACGAUAUGCCAUCGAUAAAUUUGUAAGUUGUAUGGUCAUAAUAAUUCUGUGAUGCAAUUUACAUGAGAUGAAAAUAUCACCGACAGAACAGAUGCUGGAAUCUUAUAAUUGAUGAGGAAUAGGAUUGUAAAAGGGGAAGACGAGUGCAUGCAUUUAAAUCACUCCAUUAUAGCUUUAAUUCCAUUAUUCUCCAUAUGCUUCAUUGCUUUAAGAUAAAAUGACACAUUAAAUUUGUAAAAAGCAACUUAAAAGGUUUAUUUUUAUAUGUUUACUGCAUCUUAAAACUUGGUGUCUUUUAUCAUUUGAGAAAAAAACUCAUUGAUAACGCUCAUGAACGACAUGCAGGACUGAUGGAUGUGAUGGGAUUAAGUAAGGGAUACAAGACUCCAAUGGUCUAUUAUGUCAGAUACGGGACUUGUACGAGCCGCGUAGCGGCGAGUGAUCAGCCCCGUAUCUGACACAAUAGACCAUCGGAGUCUUGUAUCUUACUUAAAACAUUGUUCUAUCUAAAAACAAAUGCAUUUGAACGCACAACAAAAAAACAUGUACAAAUAUACAUUGGUAUAAACAAAUAUAUUUACAUCUUUCGUUUCUGAUUUGUUUUUAAUAUUUAAUAUAUUAGGAAUUCAUAAACUUUAGUGGCACACGAGGUCAAAUCUUGUCUUUAAUUCACAAAAAAACUGUUAGCUCAUCAUUUCAAUUGUCAUAAUACGGUACUCCUCAAAAAAGGGUUUUGUUCUUCAUGGAAAGCAAUUCGAAUGCUUCUAUUGUCUGAAGACUGUACUCAACAAAACUGGUUUUCUUUUUUGGGUGAAUGAGGGUACGUAAAGGGUGUUCGGAAAGAAUCUUUUAGAUAAAACAAAACAUUGAUUUCCCCCGUUCCUUUCUGGAAACCCUAAUAAUAUGAUACUGACACGUAGGCCUAUAACUGGUAUAAAAACAGAAGCCGCAGUCCUCCUUUAGCAUUCAGUCCGGGUGCCUUGAAGAAAUGGAUUCAGAUGGUUGAAAAGUACAUGAGUUUGCGCCCCAGUAGUGGAAAAUGCAAUGCAUUAUAGCUCAGACCAAAAAUCGCUCCUAAGGGGAAUGUAUGGUACGACGACGUCCUAGUCGGGGUACAUCAACUGCAACAGAUUGUGGUCAAAAUGUGUAGAGAGGCAGGAUUAGAUGGGUUUUUUACAAAUCACUCUCUUCGGGCUACUGCCGCCACACGCCCAUAUGCUGCGGGUGUUGACGAGAAACUUAUAGCGGGAAAAAACUGGUCACAUGUCAUCUGCGAUUCGCAACUACAAACGCACCUCCGAGAAACAAUUACACGAGUGUAAGUGAUUUGAUUCAGAAACCGUCCAGUGUCCCCGCCAGGGCCGACGAAAGUGAAGCUCAAUGAAAGUGUUUCCUUUGGAUCGAGAAAAGAAAUAAACAUCACUGCCGGGGAUGUAACAGUGAAUUUGCGACUUCAAUGUGCAUGUAUUUAAAUGAAUGAUUGUGACAUGGAUUUAUAACUGUGGUGCCUAAACGAUUUCAUAUACAGUAAAAUCGGAUUAUACACGAAACACUCAUUUCGUAUAAUUUACUGGAAUAUUUCACGCCUUGAAUAAAUAAUAAAUAUGUUUUCUCGCACAA